rnacentral:lncRNA from 1 species
CGCAGGCUCCUCUUCAGUGACAGCCGGGACAGUUCCUGGUUAUUUGUAGCCCCCCACCCCCACCCCGCGGCUUUCCUUUGGAUGUAAUUAAGCAGUCAUUUGAGGGUCAUUUCAUACCCGUUAUAGGUUUCCCUGUUUUAAUAAUGUUUUCAAUUCCAGGAGAGAGGGGGGAGGGGGCGCAACAGGGAGUGGAAGGGGAGGUUGGGAAGGAGGCUCGGAGGCCAAGAGGGUAAUCGUCUCUGAGAACGUGUGCACUUUCCAUAACUCUUUCCAUGACAGGCCCCAGUGUGGAGGUUCCUCUCAUGCCGCCCCCAGAGUUCUGUUUCGCGGCGGCGCGGCCAGAUCCUCCUUCCUCCAGGACACGAAUGGUCUGCCCCCGAGAAGAGGUCUGGCCGGGCUGGAGUCAGAUGUUGGAUUUUCUCCUUUCCCCUCUGGCACCACACUAAUCAUUCUCUUUAAUCACUGUAGCUUUUUAAUGAGGCCAAGUAGCUUCCAUUCUAAGGCCAAUUCUACAAAGUUCUUCAGAGGAUCCUGGCGCCAUUACAUUUGGAGGGUGCACAGAUGCAAAAUGAGAGGACUGGGAAGAAAUAAAGGACAGAAACCAGAUUUCCUGUCAUUGCAAAAGUAGGUGCCACAUGCUCCAAAUUUCCGUACAUGUUAAAGUUAAAGCUGGAAUAUGUAGCAGCAGCAGGAAUGUAGUCGCCUUCAAAAGAGAUUAGGAGAGAAAGCCCUUUCUAGGGCGGGGGAGAGGAGUGUGAGGGAGAAAGCAAGACAGGACCCUGUAGAUGCGGAGAAAAAACUGCAUCAGUCCAUCUACUUAUUAGUAUUUAAUAUGCAUUAAGGAGGCUUUGUAAAAGUUCUCAGCCAUAAAAAAAGGACUAAGUACUGAUAUAUGCUACAACGUGGAUGAACCUUGGAAACGUUAUGCUAAGUGAUAGAAGCCAGCUACAAAACAAACACACACUGUAUGAUUCCAUUUAUGUAAAAUGUCCAGAAUAAGAAAAUCGAUAGAGAUGGGAAAUAAAUUCAGUUCAGUUCAGUUCA